CAUUCGGAGCCUAAAAUGGUGUG
rnacentral:siRNA from 1 species